UAUAUAUGGUGAUUAGAUUUUGAAAGUUGAGCCUUCCGUUUAAAAAAGACCUUUAGGGAACUUGUCUAAUGAAAGGUCAUUAAAUAUUAUACUAGUACACAGCAGCCACAGCAAUACAAAUAGGUGAUGUGAAGAAAAGUUGGAAACUUUGGAGAAUGUGUUUGAAAGGUGGAGAAACAGCUUUUACUUUCAUUUUUGGCAAGUUGUAGCUCCCCUCAUCAUUUCUGCAGCCGGUUGAGAGACAGGGCUCUCCUGUGAAGGUUAGGUGGACUUUUGGUCCAGGAGAGACUAGUCACAGCUCCAGGGUUCUGCAGGCCAUAGCAUCAGCACUACCCCAGGCCACACAAGCUAAUUUUUGUAGCCUCAUGCCCAGAGAUUCUGAUUCAGU
rnacentral:lncRNA from 1 species